GAUUUAUGAGUGAAAAUCAGGAAUUUAGCCUUGAAUGUUAAAAAAAGGGGAUGAAAGGUAUAUAAGGCCAAAAUUUUAGGGAAUGGGUAGCUUAUUUCUCCCUAAGGUACAGCGAGAGAAGUUCAUCAUGCAGUACUUGUUCGCUUUCCUGCUGUUGGCCAGUCUUCUGGCGUUCUCCUAUGCCAUCUACGGAUAUCCUUACGGAUACAACUACCUAGGCCACUACGGAUACUACGACCACCUCUACGACCACGGACUUUACGAUUACGACCACGACUACCACAUCCUGUUGAAGAAAUAAGUUAUUUGAAAAAUGGCUUUACUCUUUUGUAACAGAUACGACCGAGCUUUACGUGAUGAAGAAUCUUGCUUUUCAAGGAAAACGUUCUCCCGAAAUAUCUUCCUUUACUUUGCUAUAAAAAUGCUUUAUAUUUCCACAAAGACUUUUACAACCACCUGCUUUGUUUAAAAAUUAAGCAUCAAUAAAGUAUACUUCUCUAUGUUUUCUAUUAAAAUGAA